GAUGAACGCUGGCGGCGUGCCUAAUACAUGCAAGUCGAGCGAACAGACGAGGAGCUUGCUCCUCUGACGUUAGCGGCGGACGGGUGAGUAACACGUGGAUAACCUACCUAUAAGACUGGGAUGACUUCGGGAAACCGGAGCUAAUACCGGAUAAUAUAUUGAACCGCAUGGUUCAAUAGUGAAAGACGGUUUUGCUGUCACUUAUAGAUGGAUCCGCGCCGCAUUAGCUAGUUGGUAAGGUAACGGCUUACCAAGGCAACGAUGCGUAGCCGACCUGAGAGGGUGAUCGGCCACACUGGAACUGAGACACGGUCCAGACCCCUACGGGAGGCAGCAGUAGGGAAUCUUCCGCAAUGGGCGAAAGCCUGACGGAGCAACGCCGCGUGAGUGAUGAAGGUCUUCGGAUCGUAAAACUCUGUUAUUAGGGAAGAACAAAUGUGUAAGUAACUAUGCACGUCUUGACGGUACCUAAUCAGAAAGCCACGGCUAACUACGUG
rnacentral:rRNA from 1 species